UACGAAGGGGGCUAGCGUUGCUCGGAAUCACUGGGCGUAAAGGGCGCGUAGGCGGGGAGGUAAGUCGGGUGUGAAAUCCCCUCGGCCCAACUGAGGAACUGCGCCCGAGACUGCUUCUCUUGAGUCCCGGAGAGGAAGAUGGAAUUCCCGGUGUAGCGGUGAAAUGUGUAGAGAUCGGGAGGAACACCGGUGGCGAAGGCGGUCUCUGGACGGUGACUGACGCUGAGGCGCGAAAGCGUGGGGAGCAAACGGG
rnacentral:rRNA from 1 species